rnacentral:rRNA from 1 species
AUGGUUGUCAAACUGAUAGAUGGCAGAUGGGAAGUGAUAUAUUUUGUUGGCGAGCACAACCAUCCACUAGUUGACAAACCAAGUUUGACUAAGUACUUGAGAUCGCACCAAGGUAUCCCACCAGAAGAAAAGGCAUUCCUUACCCACCUACAUAACUGCAACUUGACAACAGGGCGCAUGAUGCACAUCAUGUCAGACUUCUAUGGGACAGAGCUAAUUGUGCCUUAUGGAACUAAGCACAUUACAAACCUGAAGACGGUCUUGAACAAGGAUGCUACAAGAGAAGGCGACAUGAUAGAGACAGUAGCAUAUUUCAAAGAUCAGCAA